GGGGUUUUUUUGCCACUAAGGCCCGAAAGCGGGGGGGGGGAACCCGGAUUGGUUACCCCGGGGUGUUCCCCGCCGUAAACAAUGGAUAUUAGCUGUGGGAGGGAUUGGACCCCCUCUGUGGGAAAGAUAACGGCGUUAAGUUAUUCCCCCCUGUGGAGUACGGCCGCAAGGCUAUAACAUAAAAGGAAUUGGACGGGGACCCGCACAAGCGGUGGAUUAUGUUCUUUAAUUGGAUGAUAAACGAUAAACCUUAUCAGGGCUUGACAUCCAGGGAAGCACUACGAAAGUAGAGUGUGCCUUUUGGAACCCUGUGACAGGUGAUGCAUGGCCGUCGUCAGCUCGUGUCGUGAGAUGUUAGGUUAAGUCCUUCAACGAGCGCAACCCUUGUGAAUAGUUGUAUUUUUCUAUUCAGACUGCCCCGGUAACGGGGAGGAAGGAGGGGAUGAUGUCAGGUCAGUAUUUCCCUUACGUCCUGGGCUAGAAACGUAAUACAAUGGCUAGUACAAUGCGCAGCGAAGCCGCGAGGUGAAGCAAAUCGCAUCAAAGCUAGUCCCAGUUCGGAUUGGAGGCUGAAACUCGCCUCCAUGAAGUCGGAAUCGCUAGUAAUCGCAGAUCAGCAAGUUGCGGUGAAUACGUUCCCGGGUCUUGCACUCACCGCCCGUCAA
rnacentral:rRNA from 1 species